rnacentral:rRNA from 1 species
AUGUUCAAAUAGUUUAUAGGAUUGAGAUGGGCAUGCGUGUCAUUAGCUAGUUGGCGGGGUAACGGCCCACCAAGGCGACGAUGACUAGGGGAUCUGAGAGGAUGACCCCCCACACUGGUACUGAGACACGGACCAGACUCCUACGGGAGGCAGCAGUAAGGAAUAUUGGUCAAUGGAGGCAACUCUGAACCACCCAUGCCGCGUGCAGGAAGACAGCCCUCUGGGUCGUAAACUGCUUUUAUUCGGGAAUAAACCUUAUUACGUGUAAUAAGCUGAAUGUACCGAAGGAAUAAGGAUCGGCUAACUCCGUGCCAGCAGCCGCGGUAAUACGGAGGAUCCAAGCGUUAUCCGGAUUUAUUGGGUUUAAAGGGUGCGUAGGCGGCUUAUUAAGUCAGGGGUGAAAGACGGUGGCUCAACCAUCGCAGUGCCUUUGAUACUGAUGAGCUUGAAUGAACUAGAGGUAGGCGGAAUGUGACAAGUAGCGGUGAAAUGCAUAGAUAUGUCACAGAACACCGAUUGCGAAGGCAGCUUACUAUGGUUUUAUUGACGCUGAGGCACGAAAGCGUGGGGAUCAAACAGGAUUAGAUACCCUGGUAGUCCACGCCCUAAACGAUGAAUACUCGCUGUUAGCGAUAUACAGUUAGCGGCUAAGCGAAAGCGUUAAGUAUUCCACCUGGGGAGUACGCCCGCAAGGGUGAAACUCAAAGGAAUUGACGGGGGCCCGCACAAGCGGAGGAGCAUGUGGUUUAAUUCGAUGAUACGCGAGGAACCUUACCCGGGCUUGAAAGUUAGUGAAUUAUCUAAAAA